rnacentral:misc_RNA from 1 species
UGGCUCUCAAAUCAUGAAGAAGGAACAGAUGAGUAAUAGCUUUGGACUAAAACCCACAACUUUGGGAAUCAAACCCACAACUUUGGAACUCAAACCCAGAAAAAGGAAAAUAGCUUUUGGGACUCAAACCAUAACUUUAUGCAGAAGGAGGACACUAAGAAAGGAGAAACCCCGAAAUUUUAUGUAGGCUUUAAUACCACGUUAAUUUUUGGAAAGAGAGAAACCCCGAAAUUUUAUGUAGGCUUUAAUACCACGUUAAUUUUUGGAAAGAGAGAACCACAAGAAAGAGAGGAAGGAAAAUAAAACCAGAGAAGGGACUUCAAACCUUACAAGCUCUAAUGAAGGAGAAGAAGAGAAUAGAGACUUCAACCCUUGGCUCUC